CUUAAGCUAAAAACAGCCUAAUGUGUACUGAACUAGCAUCAUCAUAUCUCCAACUACUGACAGCAUGGUGUGAUCUGAAUCAACAUUAGCACAUCUCAUUAUUAGACAUACUUGUGUGAACUGAAUCAGCCUUCUCAUCUCUCCAUGACAGAUAACCAUGUUUAAAUUUCAUCAGCAUCAUCAUCUCUCAGCCAACAGACAAUCUAGUAUCGACUUAAUAAGCCUACACAUCUCUCCACCAACAGACAGCCUGGUCUAAACUGGAACAGCCUUUUAAUCUAAAAACUAACAGCCAGCCUGGUCUGUACGGAAUCAGCAUCCUCAUCGCUCCAUUUACAGAUAGCCUGGUGUGUACUGAUACAGACCUCCAUAUCUCGUGAUCAACAGAUAUCAUGGUUUGUACUGAAACAGCUUUUCAUCUAUCAACCAACAAACAACCUGGUGUGUUAUUAAUCAGCAUCAUCAUCCCUCCACCAACAGAAAAAACAGCUGAAGCCAACAAGAAUUGACUUUUAGGAAUGAUGUUUGUGCCAUAUGAUAAGUAACAACUACUUAAGUUUAUUUUUCCUACACUUUUAGUUGUGACCUGCAGCAGAUAUUUUAGUCAAUAUUUCACCAUUGUAAAGCCCUGCAGCUGAAGAGUCUCAGAAAAUGCUAAGUAUUUUACUGCUUUACCAUAGCUUAUAAUAUAUAUGAUUAAAGGUUUACCACAGCUUAUAUAAAAUUUUGUUUAAAGGUACUAUAAUUGACGCUUAAAUGUUGGCGUAAAAUGCAAGUUUUGUUUUAAUUAGCUUUAAGGAUUAUUGUUAAAAUAGUACAUACAAAAAAUUUGAAACCCUAUUUUUAUAUGACCAUAAAUUUUGGGGGUCUUGCUGCUGUUCAACAUUAUCGGCCACAAAUAUAGUUUCCUGACUAAAACUGAAGUAUUUGCUCAAUUGUUAAUAAUUUUAACUUAACGUAAAUGAAUGUGUGUAUCGUGAGUUUCUCUCACUGACAACACUGGAUAAUAGCUAAGUGCUAUAUGCUAAUGACUAAAAAAUUAACCUUGUUAAACUUAUAUUUUGUGACUUCAAUAACUUGUAUUUACAAGGGAAGUUACAAACAUAUGUU